UACGUAUGGUGCAAGCGUUAUCCGGAUUUACUGGGUGUAAAGGGAGCGUAGACGGCUGUGUAAGUCUGAAGUGAAAGCCCGGGGCUCAACCCAGGGACUGCUUUGGAAACUAUGCAGCUAGAGUGUCGGAGAGGUAAGUGGAAUUCCCAGUGUAGCGGUGAAAUGCGUAGAUAUUGGGAGGAACACCAGUGGCGAAGGCGGCUUACUGGACGAUGACUGACGUUGAGGCUCGAAAGCGUGGGGAGCAAACAGG
rnacentral:rRNA from 1 species